GUGUCAUCGAAUGAUGUGGCGUGCACUGCCUGCCGAAACCCAGUGGUCGAAUGUGACGGAAUCCCCCUGCUCUCGCACGCAUUCUAGCCACCAUGAGACAGGCAUGGAACAUCGGUAUUUCAACACGAGAAACAAUAGCGGGCGAGUUUCUUUAGAAAAAAUGAAUAUGUUUUAACAAAAUUCAUGUACGAGGCGAGGAAGAACAGCAGAAGAAAAGCACACGAACGCGUUGGGUCUUUCAGUAAAAGGUUGUUGAAAACAUUGGAUGGUUCUAUCACAUAUCAAUAUAAUUCAACUUGUCUACUAAAAUGUCCCUGCUCAGAACCUUUCAGUUGUCUGCAUACAUUUUCUGCCUUUAACCGGGUUCGUUUCAUUCCCUGCACUGCCUUGAUGCUGUCAACCAAAAAUUUCCCAUGCUUAAUUCAACCAUAAGCGCUCAAGAUGAGGUUAAUAGUUAGUGUGCAAGAAGCGCGUGCCUAAGAAAACCAUGCCGACACGCGGUACCAGCUAGGCAGCGUGCGUACUGAAGUAUAAACGCGCGGCGAGGGAGCUGGGGAUGCGGUACGCGCUACGCGACCGGCGUAACUGCUUUGAAAUAAACAACCUACAUGUCGGCGAACCAUUCUGCAUUGCACUUAGGAUGUUUUAAAAACUUGUAGCAACUGAUUCCACUGCCAACUUUCUUUGGGCAUUAUAAGCUGUGCCGAAGAUUGGCAUUACAACGACCGCAAAUUUAAGUUACAGCAGACACGAAACGCGCCAAACGUUCAGUGAAAUGAACAGGAUGCCGCUACACUCACAUACAAGCGAGCGCCGUCCGCUCCGUUGUCUUUUUUAGGAGACAUAGACAGAUGAAAAGAGCGUUAAAUGUGUGAAGCCGCCAACUGAGAAAUGAAAUCUUUACCACUGUCCAAACACGAAAUGCUUCCACCAUCACACCAAUAACAUCACUGGCACCUCUGACAUUUAUUUCUGUAAUUCAUUGCUUGUUUUCAUUUUUUUUUCAUUUUUGCUUGUGCCUCUAAGUGCCUUUUUCUAACAUGGCGGCAGCGAGCAGGCAUCAGCCACACCGGAGCGCGGCCAUCCACGGUGCUAUCAUCUCUCCUCCUCGGCCCAAUCGAGAUAGCUCGAGUUGCACGCUGGGAAGAUUUUAAGCGGGAGCGGGAGGCUCGGAGCCGGCGGGAGUGGUUAGCGCGCUGUCGUCCUGUCGUUGUUGUCGUUCUGAGACGGCCAUUAUAUUUGACUUGUUUGGAUACCAUCCGAUCACCAUUGUGUGCUGCCACCACUUGUAGCCUGCAGUAGUUAUUACCGCUUCUACUGGGAACUUGCGCCAUCCGCUGCACCCUCAUGCCUUUGUGCAGCAGAGACCUUUUCGGUGUGUUGCGCGGUCGCUGCAACGAGCCGGGUUGUGAGUGCAAGCGAUACACCAUUCUGCGCCUGUCGGAAAGUGACAACCUGGUGAGGUGUGACUAUUGUGACCACGUCCCAAAUGCACACGGAAAAAUAUGUGAUCUCGAAACGAAAAAUGCAGCCGAGGCAAAGGUGCAAUGCAAUGUGCCAGGCACCGUUGUUCGAGGCCUCAGUGUCACAUGAAACUGUGGAAGCUUGCACAUCUAGUCUCCUCAGUGCAAUAUGAGAGGACUGUCCCAGUUGGUGCCUCCAUAGAAAAUGAAUCGGCCUGAAUGCCUGUGCAAGAAUCACAACCUGGCUGCUCUAAAGACUCCGCACCGUAGUCCCAUGUGCAAGAGCCCCCACUUGACAGCCCAGUGGUUGCCAUGGACAAAGAGAUCCGCGAUACUGAAUGCGGCCAAGCAGUACAAGUUUUUACAUGGACAGUUAACACGAAGUUAUUGACGACAUGCAUGGCUGAAACACGGUGAUAUGAUUUUAAAAAUUCCUGUGUUAUGAUGCAAGUGAUAGUAUUCUGUUGAAUUUUCAGAUCUAGUCAUGUGCCAGCAAGGCCUGCUGUACUUCUGGUGUAUUCUAUGUUGUAUUUUCAAAUAAAGAUGUUGCAUUCUGAAGUUAACCUUA